rnacentral:rRNA from 1 species
AUUGAACGCUGGCGGCAUGCCUUACACAUGCAAGUCGAACGGUAACGGGUCCUUCGGGAUGCCGACGAGUGGCGAACGGGUGAGUAAUAUAUCGGAACGUGCCCAGUAGUGGGGGAUAACUGCUCGAAAGACCAGCUAAUACCGCAUACGACCUGCGGGGGAAAGGGGGGGAUCGGAAGACCUAUCGCUAGUGGAGCGGCCGAUAUCAGAUUAGCUGGUUGGUGGGUUAAAGGCCUACCAAGGCAACGAUCUGUAGUUGGUCUGAGAGGACGACCAGCCACACUGGGACUGAGACACGGCCCAGACUCCUACGGGAGGCAGCAGUGGGGAAUUUUGGACAAUGGGCGCAAGGCUGAUCCAGCAAUGCCGCGUGCAGGAAGAAGGCCUUCGGGUUGUAAACUGCUUUUGUCAGGGAAGAAAUCUUCUGGGCUAAUACCCCGGGAGGAUGACGGUACCUGAAGAAUAAGCACCGGCUAACUACGUGCCAGCCGCCGCGGUAA